UGGGGAAUAUUGCACAAUGGGCGAAAGCCUGAUGCAGCAACGCCGCGUGAGUGAUGAAGGCCUUCGGGUUGUAAAGCUCUGUCUUCUGGGACGAUAAUGACGGUACCAGAGGAGGAAGCCACGGCUAACUACGUGCCAGCAGCCGCGGUAAUACGUAGGUGGCAAGCGUUAUCCGGAUUUAUUGGGUUUAAAGGGUGCGUAGGCGGAAAGAUAAGUCAGCCUGUGAAAGUUUGCGGCUCAACCGUAAAAUUGCAGUUGAUACUGUUUUUCUUGAGUGUACAUAAGGUAGGCGGAAUUCGUGGUGUAGCGGUGAAAUGCUUAGAUAUCACGAAGAACUCCGAUUGCGAAGGCAGCUUACCGGGGUACAACUGACGCUGAUGCACGAAAGUGUGGGUAUCAAACA
rnacentral:rRNA from 1 species